rnacentral:rRNA from 1 species
UACGGAGGGGGCCAGCGUUGUUCGGAAUCAUUGGGCGUAAAGGGCGCGUAGGCGGCCGAGCAAGUCGGACGUGAAAUCCCCCGGCUCAACUGGGGAACUGCAUCCGAAACUGCUUGGCUUGAGUCCUGGAGAGGGUAGUGGAAUUCCCAGUGUAGCGGUGAAAUGCGUAGAUACUGGGAGGAACACCGGUGGCGAAGGCGGCUACCUGGACAGGUACUGACGCUGAGGCGCGAAAGCGAGGGGAGCAAACAGG